AUUGAACGCUGGCGGCAUGCCUUACACAUGCAAGUCGAACGGUAACAGGUCUUCGGAUGCUGACGAGUGGCGAACGGGUGAGUAAUACAUCGGAACGUGCCCGAUCGUGGGGGAUAACGGAGCGAAAGCUUUGCUAAUACCGCAUACGAUCUACGGAUGAAAGCAGGGGACCGCAAGGCCUUGCGCGGACGGAGCGGCCGAUGGCAGAUUAGGUAGUUGGUGGGAUGAAAGCUUACCAAGCCGACGAUCUGUAGCUGGUCUGAGAGGACGACCAGCCACACUGGGACUGAGACACGGCCCAGACUCCUACGGGAGGCAGCAGUGGGGAAUUUUGGACAAUGGGCGAAAGCCUGAUCCAGCCAUGCCGCGUGCAGGAUGAAGGCCUUCGGGUUGUAAACUGCUUUUGUACGGAACGAAAAGACUCUUUCUAAUAAAGAGGGUCCAUGACGGUACCGUAAGAAUAAGCACCGGCUAACUACGUG
rnacentral:rRNA from 1 species